UACGAGUUGUGCAACCGUUAUUCGGAAUCACUGGGCUUAAAGGGUGCGUAGGCGGCUAUGAAAGUCAGAUGUGAAAUCCCUCGGCUCAACCGAGGAACUGCAUUUGAAACUGUAUAGCUUGAGGGAGACAGAGGUGAGCGGAACUGAUGGUGGAGCGGUGAAAUGCGUUGAUAUCAUCAGGAACACCGGUGGCGAAAGCGGCUCACUGGGUCUUAUCUGACGCUGAGGCACGAAAGCCAGGGGAGCAAACGGG
rnacentral:rRNA from 1 species